rnacentral:rRNA from 1 species
AGGUAAGCUACUAAGAGCGAAUGGUGGAUGCCUUGACUGGUAAAGGCGAUGAAGGACGUACUAGACUGCGAUAAGCUACGGGGAGCUGUCAAGAAGCUUUGAUCCGUAGAUUUCCGAAUGGGUCAACCCAAUGUAUAGAGAUAUACAUUACCUAUAUAGGAGCGAACGAGGGGAAUUGAAACAUCUUAGUACCCUCAGGAAAAGAAAUCAAUAGAGAUUGCGUCAGUAGCGGCGAGCGAAAGCGCAAGAGGGCAAACCCAGUGCUUGCACUGGGGGUUGUAGGACUGCAAUGUGCAAGAGGUAAGUUUAGCAGAACAUUCUGGAAAGUAUAACCAUAGAGGGUGAUAGUCCCGUAUGCGAAAAACAAACCUUAGCUAGCAGUAUCCUGAGUAGGGCGGGACACGAGGAAUCCUGUCUGAAUCCGGGUCGACCACGAUCCAACCCUAAAUACUAAUACCAGAUCGAUAGUGCACAAGUACCGUGAGGGAAAGGUGAAAAGAACUGAGGUGAUCAGAGUGAAAUAGAACCUGAAACCAUUUGCUUACAAUCAUUCAGAGCCCUAUGUAGCAAUACAGGGUGAUGGACUGCCUUUUGCAUAAUGAGCCUGCGAGUUGUGGUGUCUGGCAAGGUUAAGCAAACGCGAAGCCGUAGCGAAAGCGAGUCUGAAUAGGGCGCUUAGUCAGAUGCUGCAGACCCGAAACGAAGUGAUCUAUCCAUGAGCAAGUUGAAGCUAGUGUAAGAACUAGUGGAGGACUGAACCCAUAGGCGUUGAAAAGCCCCGGGAUGACUUGUGGAUAGGGGUGAAAGGCCAAUCAAACUUCGUGAUAGCUGGUUCUCUCCGAAAUAUAUUUAGGUAUAGCGUUGUGUCGUAAUAUAAGGGGGUAGAGCACUGAAUGGGCUAGGGCAUACACCAAUGUACCAAACCCUAUCAAACUCCGAAUACCUUAUAUGUAAUCACAGCAGUCAGGCGGCGAGUGAUAAAAUCCGUCGUCAAGAGGGAAACAACCCAGACUACCAGCUAAGGUCCCUAAAUCUUACUUAAGUGGAAAACGAUGUGAAGUUACUUAAACAACCAGGAGGUUGGCUUAGAAGCAGCCAUCCUUUAAAGAAAGCGUAAUAGCUCACUGGUCUAGUGAUUUUGCGCGGAAAAUAUAACGGGGCUAAAGUAAGUACCGAAGCUGUAGACUUAGUUUACUAAGUGGUAGGAGAGCGUUCUAUUUGCGUCGAAGGUAUACCGGUAAGGAGUGCUGGAGCGAAUAGAAGUGAGCAUGCAGGCAUGAGUAGCGAUAAUUAAUGUGAGAAUCAUUAACGCCGUAAACCCAAGGUUUCCUACGCGAUGCUCGUCAUCGUAGGGUUAGUCGGGUCCUAAGUCGAGUCCGAAAGGGGUAGACGAUGGCAAAUUGGUUAAUAUUCCAAUACCAACAUUAGUGUGCGAUGGAAGGACGCUUAGGGCUAAGGGGGCUAGCGGAUGGAAGUGCUAGUCUAAGGUCGUAGGAGGUUGUACAGGCAAAUCCGUAUAACAAUACUCCGAGAACUGAAAGGCUUUUUGAAGUCUUCGGAUGGAUAGAAGAACCCCUGAUGCCGUCGAGCCAAGAAAAGUUUCUAAGUUUAGCUAAUGUUGCCCGUACCGUAAACCGACACAGGUGGGUGGGAUGAGUAUUCUAAGGCGCGUGGAAGAACUCUCUUUAAGGAACUCUGCAAAAUAGCACCGUAUCUUCGGUAUAAGGUGUGGUUAGCUUUGUAUUAGGAUUUACUCCGAAAGCAAGGAAACUUACAACAAAGAGUCCCUCCCGACUGUUUACCAAAAACACAGCACUCUGCUAACUCGUAAGAGGAUGUAUAGGGUGUGACGCCUGCCCGGUGCUCGAAGGUUAAUUGAUGGGGUUAGCAUUAGCGAAGCUCUUGAUCGAAGCCCGAGUAAACGGCGGCCGUAACUAUAACGGUCCUAAGGUAGCGAAAUUCCUUGUCGGUUAAAUACCGACCUGCA